rnacentral:rRNA from 1 species
UGGGGAAUUUUGGACAAUGGGCGCAAGCCUGAUCCAGCCAUUCCGCGUGAGUGAAGAAGGCCUUCGGGUUGUAAAGCUCUUUCGCAAGGGAAGAAAACUUAUCCUCUAACAUAGGAUGAGGUUGACGGUACCUUGAUAAGGAGCACCGGCUAACUACGUGCCAGCAGCCGCGGUAAUACGUAGGGUGCGAGCGUUAAUCGGAAUUACUGGGCGUAAAGCGUGCGCAGGCGGUUUUGUAAGCCAGACGUGAAAUCCCCAGGCUUAACCUGGGAACUGCGUUUGGAACUGCAAGGCUAGAGUGCGGCAGAGGAAGGUGGAAUUCCUGGUGUAGCAGUGAAAUGCGUAGAGAUGUGGAGGAAUACCAAUGGCGAAGGCAGCCCCCUGGGAUAAUAUUGACGCUCAUGCACGAAAGCGUGGGGAGCAAACAGG